rnacentral:lncRNA from 1 species
GGAAGUUGCACGCCAACGCACGCCAGUUGCAUCUGGACGGGUCUCGAGACAGAUGCUAAAGAGCUUGUUGAUUGUUAUAGAAAAAAGGAAAAUCUAAAAAUUGAAGAAGAAAUUUCUGAAGUUUUGGGACCUCUACCAAUUGAAUGAUGUGUUACUCUGGAAGCAUUUCCUCUGCUGGUAUACAUGUAAAACAAAUGACUGACCCCCUGACUCAUGUAAAUUUUCAUAUAGUGGUGUAUGAAAGACGUUUCCAAAUUUCUUGAUUUUCCACCAUUUCAAUUAACACCUUCCCCCCCCCCCCAAUUUAGUGAUGAUAACUAAUAUGUGUUCCUGUAUUGGUCAUAUCAGUUAAAUUUAUUAAUGAAUUACUUCUGAAAAAUUGAACUAUGGGAGAAAAAAUAUGGCAAUUAAUGUUGCUGCUUAUAUUUUGUUUCUUUCAUGGAUCUAAAUAUUUGAAUUGCUUAUCACAUUAUGUUCUUUUCUUUUCCAUUUGAAAAGAUUAUGAAAUGGAACAACUGAAAUCCAUUGUAUUUGGUGGAUUUACUAUCAGUUCAUGAUUGGCAGUAAUUGAAAUUGGCUGUAUUGGUCUGCGUUGGUACAAUGCCUGGAAGGAAUCGUGGGUCAUUAAAGAAGAGAAAAGAGGCGAAUCUAGUCGUAGCUCAACUCUCCUUAACAAUGCGAUGAACGGCCCAGAGGAAGAAAUCUUACGCAUGUUCGAUUCUAUAGUUCGGAUCAGUGACAAAGAAGAGCUCCAAAUAUGGGUGAAUGUGAGCGUCCGAGUGGGAAAAUAACCUGUAGAAGUCAAUGCAAAACGGGAAACGUCUCAAUGUGUUGCAUGUGUUGUAUUCCAGUAUUUAUCUGUUGAAUGUGUUGUAUUCCAU